rnacentral:misc_RNA from 1 species
AAGUCGUAACAAGGUUUCCGUAGGUGAACCUGCGGAAGGAUCAUUACAAGUAUCCAAACUUUACCUGAUUGUGAAUUAGUUGUGGUGAAUGUUGUAGCAGGAAGAGUCUUGAUGAUGAUGAUGAUGAUGGGCAAAUGUUUUAUACAUAUGCCCAACAGCAUUACUCUUGCUUUUCCUGUUUAAGUUCUCAACAAACUCUUGUUAAACUUAUUUUGUCUGAUAAUGUUAUAUGAUAAAUUUCAUACAACUUGCAGCGAUGGAUCUCUUGGCUCUG